CUGCUACUGCCAUUAUUGUUUUGGGGUCAGCUCAGCUUGAAGGACAAUGUAGAUGGAAGACCCAUGAGCAAUAUACUGAAUCAAUUAAAGAGACAGGGCAUGACAUUGUUCAGGCAGCUGUUAAUAAUAAUAAUAAAAUUAGUUGCUAUUAUUAAGCCUGUCUUAAACUGCAGAUCCAGUCUAUCAUUGUUGGAUAUUUGGGUUGGCUCCAAGUCUUUGCUAUUGUGAAUAAUGCCGCAAUAAACAUACAUGUGCAUGUGUCUUUAUAGCAGCAUGAUUUAUAAUCAUUUGGGUAUAUACCCAGUAAUAGGAUGGCUGGGUCAUAUGGAAUUUCUAGUUCUAGAUCCCUGAGGAAUCGCCACACUGACUUCCACAAGGGUUGAACUAGUUUACAGUCCCACCAACAGUGUAAAAGUGUUCCUAUUUCUCCACAUCUUCUUCAGCACCUGUUGUUUCCUGACUUUUUAAUGAUCGCCAUUCUAACUGGUGUGAGAUGGUAUCUCAUUGUGGUUUUGAUUUGCAUUUCUUUGAUGGCCAGUCAUGAUGAGCAUUUUUUCAUGCAGUUUUUGGCUGCAUAAAUGUCUUCUUUUGAGAAGUGUCUGUUCAUAUCCUUUGCCCACUUUUUGAUGGGGUUGUUUGUUUUUUUCUUGUAAAUUUGUUUGAGUUCAUUG
rnacentral:lncRNA from 1 species